CCCAGUAACACGAGCGAAGGGGGAACACCCGUUUCCAUUCCGAACACGGAAGUUAAGCCCUUCAGCGCCGAGGGUACUGCAGAGGGGACUCUGUGGGAGAGCAGGCCGUUGCUGGGA
rnacentral:rRNA from 1 species